rfam:Sarcophilus harrisii ctg7180002484694, whole genome shotgun sequence.
GGUCUGUUUGCCUGGGACCUCUCAGCAGCUGGGAGACUAAUCAAACUCCUUUGG